GGGCCCGCACAAGCGGUGGAGUAUGUGGUUUAAUUCGAUGCAACGCGAAGAACCUUACCAGGGUUUGACAUCCUGCGAAUCUCUUGGAAACAGGAGAGUGCCUUCGGGAACGCAGUGACAGGUGGUGCAUGGCUGUCGUCAGCUCGUGUCGUGAGAUGUUGGGUUAAGUCCCGCAACGAGCGCAACCCACGUCUUUAGUUGCCAGCAUUUAGUUGGGCACUCUAGAGAGACUGCCGGUGAUAAACCGGAGGAAGGUGUGGAUGACGUCAAGUCAUCAUGCCCCUUACAUCCUGGGCUACACACGUACUACAAUGCUACGGACAAAGGGCAGCAAGUUCGCGAGAGCUAGCAAAUCCCAUAAACCGUGGCUCAGUUCAGAUCGUAGGCUGCAACUCGCCUGCAUGAAGUUGGAAUCGCUAGUAAUCGCCGGU
rnacentral:rRNA from 1 species